rnacentral:rRNA from 2 species
CUGGAGGUAUCAGAAGUGCGAAUGCUGACAUAAGUAACGAUAAAGCGGGUGAAAAGCCCGCUCGCCGGAAGACCAAGGGUUCCUGUCCAACGUUAAUCGGGGCAGGGUGAGUCGACCCCUAAGGCGAGGCCGAAAGGCGUAGUCGAUGGGAAACGGGUUAAUAUUCCCGUACUUGGUGUUACUGCGAAGGGGGGACGGAGAAGGCUAUGUUGGCCGGGCGACGGUUGUCCCGGUUUAAGCGUGUAGGUGUGUGUUCCAGGUAAAUCCGGUUCACUUUAACACUGAGGCGUGAUGACGAGGCACUACGGUGCUGAAGCAACAAAUGCCCUGCUUCCAGGAAAAGCCUCUAAGCAUCAGGUAACAUCAAAUCGUACCCCAAACCGACACAGGUGGUCAGGUAGAGAAUACCAAGGCGCUUGAGAGAACUCGGGUGAAGGAACUAGGCAAAAUGGUGCCGUAACUUCGGGAGAAGGCACGCUGACAUGUAGGUGAAGUGAUUUACUCAUGGAGCUGAAGUCAGUCGAAGAUACCAGCUGGCUGCAACUGUUUAUUAAAAACACAGCACUGUGCAAACACGAAAGUGGACGUAUACGGUGUGACGCCUGCCCGGUGCCGGAAGGUUAAUUGAUGGGGUCAGCGCAAGCGAAGCUCCUGAUCGAAGCCCCGGUAAACGGCGGCCGUAACUAUAACGGUCCUAAGGUAGCGAAAUUCCUUGUCGGGUAAGUUCCGACCUGCACGAAUGGCGUAAUGAUGGCCAGGCUGUCUCCACCCGAGACUCAGUGAAAUUGAACUCGCUGUGAAGAUGCAGUGUACCCGCGGCAAGACGGAAAGACCCCGUGAACCUUUACUAUAGCUUGACACUGAACAUUGAGCCUUGAUGUGUAGGAUAGGUGGGAGGCUUUGAAGUGUGGACGCCAGUCUGCAUGGAGCCGGCCUUGAAAUACCACCCUUUAAUGUUUGAUGUUCUAACGUGGACCCGUGAUCCGGGUUGCGGACAGUGUCUGGUGGGUAGUUUGACUGGGGCGGUCUCCUCCUAAAGAGUAACGGAGGAGCACGAAGGUUGGCUAAUCCUGGUCGGACAUCAGGAGGUUAGUGCAAUGGCAUAAGCCAGCUUGACUGCGAGCGUGACGGCGCGAGCAGGUGCGAAAGCAGGUCAUAGUGAUCCGGUGGUUCUGAAUGGAAGGGCCAUCGCUCAACGGAUAAAAGGUACUCCGGGGAUAACAGGCUGAUACCGCCCAAGAGUUCAUAUCGACGGCGGUGUUUGGCACCUCGAUGUCGGCUCAUCACAUCCUGGGGCUGAAGUAGGUCCCAAGGGUAUGGCUGUUCGCCAUUUAAAGUGGUACGCGAGCUGGGUUUAGAACGUCGUGAGACAGUUCGGUCCCUAUCUGCCGUGGGCGCUGGAGAACUGAGGGGGGCUGCUCCUAGUACGAGAGGACCGGAGUGGACGCAUCACUGGUGUUCGGGUUGUCAUGCCAAUGGCACUGCCCGGUAGCUAAAUGCGGAAGAGAUAAGUGCUGAAAGCAUCUAAGCACGAAACUUGCCCCGA